AUUGAACGCUGGCGGCGUGCUUAACACAUGCAAGUCGUGCGGUAACAGGCGUAGCAAUACGUGCUGACGAGCGGCGAACGGGUGCGUAAUACAUGGGAAUCUGCCCUUUAGUGGGGAAUAACCCGGCGAAAGCCGGGCUAAUGCCGCAUAAGAUCUUCGGAUGAAAGCGGGGGAUCGUAAGACCUCGCGCUGAUGGAUGAGCCCAUGUCGGAUUAGCUAGNGGUGAGGUAACGGCUCACCAAGGCGACGAUCCGUAGCUGGUCUGAGAGGACGGCCAGGCCACACUGGGACUGAGACACGGCCCAGACUCCUACGGGAGGCAGCAGUGGGAAUAUUGGACAAUGGGGAAACCUGAUCCAGCGACGCCGCGUGUGUGAAGAAGGCCU
rnacentral:rRNA from 1 species